AUUGAACGCUGGCGGCAGGCCUAACACAUGCAAGUCGAACGGUAACAGGAAGAAGCUUGCCUCUUUGCUGACGAGUGGCGGACGGGUGAGUAAUGUCCGGGAAACUGCCCGAUGGAGGGGGAUAACUACUGGAAACGGUAGCUAAUACCGCACAAUCUCGCAAGACCAAAGAGGGGGACCUUCUGGCCCCUUGCCAUCGGAUGUGCCCAGAUGGGAUUAGCUAGUAGGUGGGGUAACGGCUCACCUAGGCGACGAUCCCUAGCUGGUCUGAGAGGAUGACCAGCCACACUGGAACUGAGACACGGUCCAGACUCCUACGGGAGGCAGCAGUGGGGAAUAUUGCACAAUGGGCGCAAGCCUGAUGCAGCUAUGCCGCGUGUAUGAAGAAGGCCUUCGGGUUGUAAAGUACUUUCAGCGGGGAGGAAGGGAGUAAAGUUAAUACCUUUGCUCAUUGACGUUACCCGCAGAAGAAGCACCGGCUAACUCCGUG
rnacentral:rRNA from 1 species